rnacentral:rRNA from 1 species
GGGCAUUGCGAGCAUUACCAUGCAGUCGAGGGGUAUAGUUCUUCGGAAUUAGAGACCGGCGCACGGGUGCGUAACGCGUAUGCAAUCUACCUUUUGCAGAGGGAUAGCCCAGAGAAAUUUGGAUUAAUACCUCAUAGUAUCUCGUUGUCGCAUGACAACAAGAUUAAAGUCACAACGGCAAAAGAUGAGCAUGCGUCCCAUUAGCUAGUUGGUAAGGUAACGGCUUACCAAGGCUACGAUGGGUAGGGGUCCUGAGAGGGAGAUCCCCCACACUGGUACUGAGACACGGACCAGACUCCUACGGGAGGCAGCAGUGAGGAAUAUUGGUCAAUGGGCGCAAGCCUGAACCAGCCAUGCCGCGUGCAGGAUGACGGUCCUAUGGAUUGUAAACUGCUUUUGUACGAGAAGAAACACUACUUCGUGAAGUAGCUUGACGGUAUCGUAAGAAUAAGGAUCGGCUAACUCCGUGCCAGCAGCCGCGGUAAUACGGAGGAUCCAAGCGUUAUCCGGAAUCAUUGGGUUUAAAGGGUCCGUAGGCGGUCUUAUAAGUCAGUGGUGAAAUCUCCCCGCUCAACGGGGAAACUGCCAUUGAUACUGUAGGACUUGAAUAAUUAGGAAGUAACUAGAAUAUGUAGUGUAGCGGUGAAAUGCUUAGAGAUUACAUGGAAUACCAAUUGCGAAGGCAGGUUACUACUAAUUUCAUUGACGCUGAUGGACGAAAGCGUGGGUAGCGAACAGGAUUAGAUACCCUGGUAGUCCACGCCGUAAACGAUGGAUACUAGCUGUUGGGGGCAACUUCAGUGGCUAAGCGAAAGUGAUAAGUAUCCCACCCUGGGGAGUACGAACGCAAGUUUGAAACUCAAAGGAAUUUGACGGGGGCCCGCACAAGCGGUGGAGCAUGUGUUUAUUCGAUGAUACGCGAGGACCCUACUACGCUUAAUGUAGAUUGAACCGGUUUUGGGAAACAGAAA